rnacentral:rRNA from 1 species
GACGAACGCUGGCGGUAUGCUUAACACAUGCAAGUCGAACGAGACAAGAUGGAAGUGCUUGCACGGAAAUCUUAGAAAGUGGCGAACGGGUGAGUAACGCGUGGGUAACCUACCCUUUGGAAAGGAAUAGCCUCGGGAAACUGGGAGUAAUGCCUUAUAAGAUACAUUUGUCGCAUGGCAGAAGUAUUAAACGCUCCGGUGCCAAAGGAUGGACCCGCGUCCCAUUAGCUAGUUGGUGAGAUAACAGCCCACCAAGGCGACGAUGGGUAACCGGUCUGAGAGGGCGAACGGUCACACUGGAACUGAGACACGGUCCAGACUCCUACGGGAGGCAG